CCCUUAGAUGUCCUGGGCCGCACGCGCGCUACACUGAUGCAUUCAACGAGCCUAGCCUUGACCGAGAGGUCCGGGUAAUCUUUGAAACUGCAUCGUGAUGGGGCUAGAUUAUUGCAAUUAUUAAUCUUCAACGAGGAAUGCCUAGUAAGCGUGAUUCAUCAAAUCGCGUUGAUUACGUCCCUGCCCUUUGUACACACCGCCCGUCGCUCCUACCGAUUGAGUGUGUUGGUGAGGAGUUUGGAUUGGCCUCGGAAGGUGGUUCGCCACCGUCCGUAGCUGAGAAGUUCUCCAAACCGCCCCACUUAGAGGAAGGAGAAGUCGUAACA
rnacentral:rRNA from 1 species